rnacentral:piRNA from 1 species
CCAUCUUGCAACCCUACCUUUUU